GUGUGCAGCCUGCCAGGUAACAGAAGACUGUGGGGCCUGCUCCACCUGCCUCCUGCAGCUGCCCCAUGAUGUGGCAUCGGGGCUGUUCUGCAAGUGUGAACGGAGACGCUGCCUCCGGAUUGUGGAAAGGGUGAGUUGGGCAAGUGGAAAGAGCCCAAGGCUCACCUCGGCCCCUGGCCCCCAUGGGCUUGGCCCCAUGCUUCAUGCCUCUGCUCCCACCUGCCCCCCGCCAACAGAGCCGAGGGUGUGGAGUAUGCCGGGGCUGUCAGACCCAAGAGGAUUGUGGCCAUUGCCCCAUCUGCCUUCGCCCUCCCCGCCCUGGUCUCAGGCGCCAGUGGAAAUGUGUCCAGCGACGUUGCCUACGGGGUAAACAUGCCCGCCGCAAGGGAGGCUGUGACUCCAAGAUGGCUGCCAGGCGGCGCCCCGGAGCCCAGCCACUGCCUCCACCACCCCCAUCACAGUCCCCAGAGCCCACAGAGCCG
rnacentral:lncRNA from 1 species